rnacentral:rRNA from 1 species
GACGAACCGUGCAAACGUUAUUCGGAAUUAUUGGGCGUAAAGGGCGCGUAGGCGGCUUGUUAAGUCAAAGGUGAAAUCCCUCGGCUCAACUGAGGAAUUGCCUUUGAAACUAGCGAGCUUGAGGCCGGGAGGGGGUAGCGGAAUUCCCAGUGUAGCGGUGAAAUGCGUAGAUACUGGGAGGAACACCAGUGGCGAAGGCGGCUACCUGGACCGGUACUGACGCUGAGGCGCGAAAGCGUGGGUAGCAAACAGG